AUGAGCCAGGGUGCCACUGAUGCUAAUGGUGAUGAUGAGGAUGAUGGCCCUGUUACAGUCAAGACCAACACCCCCCAACAUUCCAGCUACCUGUUCAUUAUUCGAUGCUCGGCAGAGCAGAAUCCAAAAAGAUCAGGACACCUGGAUCUUUGUGAUUUUGGAAAACCAGCAGGAGUAAUUGCGAUAGCAUACGCAGCUCCUGCGUCUCAUCCUGGCGAGAGGUUCAGCACAAGAUGCAGUUCCGAGUGAGUUGCCAGAGGAGAUAUCUUUCCCCCUCAAAACUGUGGUGGAUUUGGCAGCCUUCAAAGAGCGAAAGUCACAAGCGAAUGCUGCAACAUCCAUUGUAAAAUACUUGGCAGAAUAUGGUGGGAGUGACACAGUGGACACGUUUUCCCGGAUAAUGAAGACGGUGUUGACAACAAAUCUGGCCCGCCAAUACAACCUAAAGGAAACCAAACAAAAAAAGAAACUGGACAGACUCCACUUGAUAAACAUCUUUUUCAGAUGUCAAUAAUUGAACCCAGCAACACACUUUAGAACCGCAAGGAAAUGGAGGGGGCCAUAUAGAAGUGGCUUUCCGAGUCGCGGAGUCGUGAGGUUGGCCGCAAAGACCGAGCAAGAGUCACUCCGAUGCGAUGAGUAGAAUGUUGACUUAUUUACUUACCAUAAAAUUUACGAUUCCACGAACCACGAACAUACGGAUUUACGACUCAGAAUUAAACCAGCAAAACUUGUCAGACUAUUUUUCAAAUUGAUAAUAUACAAUAUGUAUGCUUCUAUUGUUUUAUCAUAAACACAUCAAUGUCGUGUGACAUGUUAUGUAGUUUGUAUGCAAAAUGUAUCACAAUAAUGUAAUAAUGAGAUAUCUCCAACUUUUCCCCUAAAUUUUCAUAUCAUUAAGGGCUUCAAGAAGAGCAUUUCUUAUCUAUAUUUAUAGGCAAAUCCAUGUUGCUUUUACUUUUUUGUAUAAACAUAAGACAAACUGUCCAUGACUAAUAAGAGACCCAUCAACAAGACAAAUAUGUUUAGUUCACAUUUGGAUGAUUGUUCUAAAGAAGACUUUUAAUAAGCGAAACCUGUUGACAUUGAAU